rnacentral:rRNA from 1 species
GGGGGGGGGGGGGGGGGGGGUUGGGGGGGGGGGGGCGGGCGGAAGGGGGCUGCAUGUGGGUGGUGCUGGGGUGGCGCGCGGGUGAGGCACGCGUUGUGCACCUGCCCUGGAGUUUGGGAUACCUUCAGUACCGUGGUUCUAAUCCCUGCACGGGGCUCCUGCCUCCUUGUUUGGUUGGGCACGUUUCGGCGGUUGGGGCUGGACUCGCGGCUUCUCAGCUUGUUUGUGGUCUAGUGGCUUACUAAGGCUUUGCCGGGUAGCCGGCCUGAGAGGGUGACCGGCCACAUUGGGACUGAGAUACGGCCCAGACUCCUACGGGAGGCAGCAGUGGGGAAUAUUGCACAAUGGGCGGAAGCCUGAUGCAGCAACGCCGCGUGCGGGAUGACGGCCUUCGGGUUGUAAACCGCUUUCGCCUGUGACGAAGCGUGAGUGACGGUAAUGGGUAAAGAAGCACCGGCUAACUACGUG